UACAAAGGGGGCAAGCGUUGUUCGGAAUUACUGGGCGUAAAGGGCGCGUAGGCGGCCUGCUAAGUCGAACGUGAAAUCCCCGGGCUCAACCCGGGAACUGCGUCCGAUACUGGGAGGCUUGAAUCCGGGAGAGGGAUGUGGAAUUCCAGGUGUAGCGGUGAAAUGCGUAGAUAUCUGGAGGAACACCGGUGGCGAAGGCGGCAUCCUGGACCGGUAUUGACGCUGAGGCGCGAAAGCUAGGGGAGCAAACGGG
rnacentral:rRNA from 1 species